GAAAGGCCCUUCGGGGUGCUCGAGUGGCGAACGGGUGAGUAACACGUGGGUGAUCUGCCCUGCACUUUGGGAUAAGCCUGGGAAACUGGGUCUAAUACCGAAUAGGACUGCGCUCUUCAUGGGGUGUGGUGGAAAGCUUUUGCGGUGUGGGAUGGGCCCGCGGCCUAUCAGCUUGUUGGUGGGGUAAUGGCCUACCAAGGCGACGACGGGUAGCCGGCCUGAGAGGGUGACCGGCCACACUGGGACUGAGAUACGGCCCAGACUCCUACGGGAGGCAGCAGUGGGGAAUAUUGCACAAUGGGCGCAAGCCUGAUGCAGCGACGCCGCGUGAGGGAUGACGGCCUUCGGGUUGUAAACCUCUUUCAGCACAGACGAAGCGCGAGUGACGGUAUGUGCAGAAGAAGGACCGGCCAACUACGUGCCAGCAGCCGCGGUAAUACGUAGGGUCCGAGCGUUGUCCGGAAUUACUGGGCGUAAAGAGCUCGUAGGUGGUUUGUCGCGUUGUUCGUGAAA
rnacentral:rRNA from 1 species